CAACAUGAUGAAGUCAUCUGCUGGUCAAGCCAGGCUGAGGACAACAUUUAGUUGGAGAUGUCAUUGUGGACCAUCUGCUUUCCUGGGAGCCCGGUUAUGAAUAAACAGAGAUGUAGCCUCAGGCAUUUAUUGGGUCUGUGAUGACCCUCCCUCCACCUGGAAAGCCCACAUCUCUGCUUCUUAACAUGCUAGACAAAUGUUUGCUGUUGUUUGUGUUAUUUCCAGUGGUUGAUGGUUAAGCUGAAGGAUGUGAAAGCCUGAAAGCCAACAUAUGCCUGGGCAAGAGAAAAAGUUCUCCAUCUAUAACAUGGGCUGCAGGAAGGAUGGUGACAACCAAGUGGCACUGAGGAGGGAUGGCUCUUUGUGGCGGCAAACCCUGAGCUCUGCUCAUAGCAAGCUGCUGCUGCUGCUGCUUAGGGACUAUUUUAUUUUUGCCUGUCACUGUGUUCUCGAGACUUUUUGUCUGUAGGCCUCUCUCCCACUGAACCCAUCCAUCACUGGCGCUGACAGAGGUUCCUGCUGCCCGAAAUGGCCAGGAAGACUCAGUGGAGCCAGAACCUCAGGGGUCAAGUCCAGGUUGUCGUGUCUGAGCUAAUGCUGCUCAGGAUACGCGCAGCCUGAUGUGUUUGGAAGGCAGCAGAGGACCGAGAGGGAGGAGAAGGAAGGAUAGGAUGUAAUCUUUCAUCCUGCAAGCAAGCAUGUGGGAUGGGAAUAUUUCUUUUUGCUGCUGCCGGGGUCUGGCCCCAAGUGUGUGGAGGAAGGGAGUCCCCAGCCUGGGCAGAGAGCAGCCGCUGUCUCUGCAGCCCUGGCACCACUCUCCUGAGAAUCUGCUUUCUAGUUUUUUGGCUGCAGGAAAAAUAUAAAGGCAGAAAAUGUCAGACAUUGCGCUGAACUCAGUGGUGCUUCUUAUGUGGAUGAAGAAAUAGAACAUCUAAAGCACAAAUGCACCACGGUGAUGGUUUAGUGUGGAUGUGUGAGCUGAGGAGGAAGGCUGUAUGCAUGGCAUCAAACUGAUGGACACAGGCAUGAGCUCAGGGUAACCCAGGGCAGCUGCCUCCUAACUCACCCCAUAAACAAGGUAAGGGAUGCACUGGGCUUCCUUCCUCUACAGGGUGCCACCACUGUCUUCCUCUUUGCUCUCACCAGCAAUCCCAGCAGCACCAGUAUUAUAACUAAAUAAUAAUGCAGCUGGUUUUAUCCAGAACUAGUGCCCAAAGCUCCCUGUACCACAUCCCCCAGUACCAGUACUCCCAGUGCCAAUGCUCAGCUGGUCCCAAAUUGCACUUUAUUUGCUCCCAUGUCCCUGGAAGGACGCUUUACCCGCCGCCGUAUCGCCCUCAGCAGCCGCAGGGCUGCCUCCUGCCCUGGGAGCAGCCCCAGCCAGCACGCGCAGAGGAGCGAGCACCCAGUCACACUCACAUUGUUUCAACACAUUUACUUAAUUAGUUUAUCAAGAAAUGUGUUUGGCCUCGUCUGAUACUCGGGAAAUGCUGUCUGUCAUUUGCAGGCAUCCUGCGGGGCCCUGGGGAGCUGACAGACCCUGGCUCCUUCCUAUCUCUCCUUAACUCCAUUUGCCAGGCCUAUUUCCCAUUAUUUUUUUUUUCCCAUGUAGCACUCCCUCACCAUUUUGGGAUUAAAGUAAUAGCUAAUGAAGUUUUGCCUGAAAGAAGACCGUGACAGGUAGAGGAACUACAUGAAUAAGGACUGGAAAGAAUAUCUGGAAAAAUGUUAAAUCAAUGAAAGUGUAGGAACUUAAAAUAUUUUUUAUACUCCUCCAGCUAAAUUCUCUGCAGAUUGGACUCACUUCAUAGAAGAGACGAUGAAUGAAAAAUUACUAAUUAUGCAUAAAAUAUUAAUUCCACGCUUGCCUACAUAGAGUAGAGGAUGCUCUGUCAAUGCUGUGUGGCCCAAAUGAGAGGCAGGUUGCCUGCUCUGCUGGCAGAGCCACCACCAGGGAACGGCAAGAGAGCUUGGCAUACACCUACGGCUUCGACACACGUGCUCCAAAACUCCUGUCCUGCUGGUUUCUGUGGAUGCAGAACGGAUAGAGGGAAGGGUUGACACGCCAGGUUGGUGGGGGUCCCGGGUCAGCACGGCAAGGUCACGGCCCUCGGUCACUGCCAGCACCACCAAAGGGAAAAACUCAGAGGCUAUGCAGCCCCUCAGAGACCAGUCCCUUUGCCUGGCUUAUAUGUGUCAUCUCUCACUGGUGGUGGACCUUGGGACCCCCGGCCAGACUCCCCAUACUGAACCUUGGGAAAGCUGCUGAGUGUAAGUCAAGGAUGGAUUUGGGGAGUAGGCACAAAAUCUUCCACUAACGGCCAAAUCCUGCUCCCAUCCCAGGCUGUUGGAGGGCUGCACUUACACCAGAGUGGGCAGAUUUGCUUCCUAAAAUAGAUUUUUGGGGUUGGUGCUCACAAGGUUUAACAUUUCCAAAGGUGUUGGCAUGAUGCUUUGUUACGAUCUGCCACAUCGGCCUGUUAAACAGCGUGCCAUCUUCCCUGAUAAGCAUCAGAGGGAUUAAACAAGCUGCAGGGAAAUUAAUUGGAAAGCUGCAUCGGCCUCCCCCCAAACUCACAACCCUGUGUAAGCACAUACCCGCCAUAAGGACACCACCUGCCCGGAGUGACAGCAGAGCAGAGCUCUCCUGCAGAAAAGCAGAGAUUUCAGGGAUUUCCUUCACUCCUGCUCCAGGCAGGGGAAAGUCUCUCUGGACUUGUGUUAGUGUGAGUCAUUUUCAUUUGAACGGAGUGCUGUGAAGCAUUCAAAUUCAAGAAUUUGCACAGACUGCUUCAGUCCUGCCUUUUUUUGGUUUUCUCUAUUUCUUUAAUACCCACAAAAGACAAAACUGAAAUGGGGUAUUUGUACUCCAGAGCUCUGCAAAUCUCAGAUGCCACAAAUAUCUCCUAGCAUUUUUAUAAUGCUGAAAUAUGGCCACUGCAGUCCACCCUUUGGGACAGAGAGACAUCACGGUCCUGAUCCACUAAUGGCAGAGGAAAAAGGGAUCAACCACUUCCAAACCAAUUGGACCAGCAUCACCAAUUAAGUAAGAAUUGGCUUUAAUUAUUCCUCUGCAACCUUGCUUUUCAGUUAAUCUUCAGGAGCAGGACGAAGCUGCAGGGACAGGGUCCCUGCAUCAAACCGGAGCCCAUGCAGCCACCACGCUCCUGCUGGGGUUUGCACCCGCACCCGGGUCCUGCCAGGAUGGCAAAGCAGCCAGCACACAGAGAUGGGGGAAAAAAAGAUUAUUGAGAAAGGAAAGGGCUCCACUGUAUCCAGAUAUAGAUUAAUAAGUGAACCAUUCAUCUGAUAGGGACACGAGGGAAGUUUGCAGGUAUUCGGCCCCACUACAAUUCAGUAAUACCACUUGGCUUUAUCUCUUGCCCGAGUAACACAAACAUUUAUGGAAUUACAUUUUAAGGCUUUUAAAGGUGUAUUUAGAACAUGUUUUCUUUGAAGUGUUAUCUUUGCAAGCUCUCAUACACUGAUAAAACCCGUGUUUAGCUGCCUCGCAAGUAGUGCUUGAAAACUGUUGGUUCGGCGAUAUUUCAUUCUCUUUGGCCAGGGACGGGGCAGCCUCCGCGGGGGCCGCGCUUCACCUCAUGCCGCCGGCGCUUGCCAUGACCCUGUCCCAGCAGAGCUGUGGCGUUUGCAGGAAAGCAGCUGUAGGAGGUCUGCCAUGGUGGGACUGAUGUGGCGGGUUGAUCUUUGGAGGUGGGUAACAGCCGUGGGGACUGAGCAGCUCUUCUAGGGCUGAGGAUGACUGUGGAGCUUUAACACAAUGAAACAAGAUCCCUGGGUUUUUGCAGACAUCACUGCCUGCGAGCUUUGCUUCCUUCCCUGAGAGCCUUCAGGAGAAGGGAAACAGUGCGGCGAAACAAAUGACUUCACUCCAGGCUGGUUCCAGUUAGCACCCCCGUCCCUCCUCCCAGCCCUGCCCAGAGAUGAAGACAUUGUUCAACAGCUCAUCACUCACCAGCAGGCUCUGAGCAGGCAGCCAACGUGCAUACCCCAAGCCUCAUCCCGCAGGCAGAAGACUUGACCCAAAGCUCCCCGAGAUCCAUGGAAAGGCUCCAGUGGGUUUCUAUAGGUCUUGGAUCUCAGCAAAUGUUGGCAAACUCUGCCGAAGCUAAUGGGAACGUUGCUGGCAGUGCAGGCUGAUGGGUCAAGCAAAGGGAGAAAAUUAAUUCAUCAACCAAGAGGAUUUGUCUUCCCUUGAAGUUUCCAAAGAGUUUCUUAACGGGGUACUCAUCAACAUACCUUCAAGGGAGGAGAGAUGCCUCUCUACGUGCCAUUUUAAAUACCAACAGCUCCAGAUUGGCAGCAUUGGUAUUGCAAAGAGCUUGAGGGGGUGUAAAUAUCUCUCCCCACCCCCUUUGCCCCUUUUCUGGUCCUCCCCAGCUCCGCACAGGCUGUCUCGCUCCUGACCUCCACCCUUCCCUGGAGCCGAAAUCUCGGUGCUGGACACUGGCCAUGCUCACUCCAGCCCCGCUCAGCUGCCCUUGUGGAGUUGCUUUCAUUCAUUUUCUUCCCCUCAAACAUACCCCCUCCCCCCCACCCCCCAAAAUCACCAGGCACAACUUGUCUGAACGUAUGCCGAAUCUGAUAAGCCUUUGGCAACCACAAGAAUAAAUUGCUUUAAUAAAAAUGAAAACCAUUUCGGGGGGGGGGGUGGGGGGGUGGGGAGGGAAGGGAAGCAAAAGCAAAUGUGAAAAUAAUGUGCAGGCGAGGACCCAUGUGAUCACCUGGCAGGAAGAGGCAUUUGCAAAUCAAAGCAUAAAUCAUGGGGCUGGGAGCAGCCGGGCCAGGCGUGGAGGCAGGCGGUGAAGCCCUUCACCUUUGGGUUUUAUUUGCAUGAUCGUUUCUGCAAAGAGCACAGCGCGGGUGUUGCUUUUACCAGGCAAUGGAGAGGAACUUGCUAAAAUGCCUCCUAAAAGGAGUUGCAUGAGGACUGGACCCCCGUGGGGCACCCCACAGUGGUUUUGCUGGGGUGAGUGUGCUUGGACCCCCCCAGGCAGGGCAGGCAGAUGUAGGGGAGAGGGAGGGUUUGCAGGAGCUGUCCCCCCGGCCACCCUGGUGUGCCAAGCGCACUUGCUCAACAUCUUCCUGCACCAAGGCAAGGGAGCAAGCCAGGAGAGGGGACCCUGCAAAGACCACAGCUGGAAAGUUGUGAUUUGGAUACAGCCCUUGGCGUGCGUCAGGGAGAAGUUGGCCCAAAUAAACCAUGUUCCCCAAAGGAGCUUUCACACUUGGAGAAGGAAAUUUUGCAGUGAUCCCUGCAAAUUCAUCAGGCAAGGUUGUCUUUUAUUUGUGCUCAUGAGGAAGGGACAUAAAUCAUGGGCUCACACAGCUCAGGCUGUGGCAUUGCACAACGGCCUACGCCACUCUGCGAGUGUUACACCACACAAAAGGCUGAUCAGCAAUGAGGCCCUAGGGCAAGUCUUACUUUCCAAAGGUUUUGGCCCCAGAAGGAGAACAUAACAUCAGUAGCACCAGCUUAGCAAUUUGUCCAUGCAGCUGCAGUGCUCUUUCUGUCCUUUUAUUCACCUUCUGGGUUUGGCGGUUAUGGGAAACAUCUUGCAGGGGUUUUUGCAGCCUAACUUGGUGAUCUAUUUUUUGUUGUCUAAGAGCUGAUCAGCGACCAAUGCAAACCAAAGAAUUGGGUUUUCUCUGAUUUUCCUAAAGCAAAUCAUUAGAUUCCAGGAGAUUGGUGAGAAACCAGCGGUGGGUUAGUGGCACUGGAUGCUCCACAGCUGGCUUGACAUUCACUCUUUCUACUCAAACAGGACUGAGGCAAAUAAUAUCUUCCUGCCUUCUGUUGUGGUGUGAUCACUUUGUUGCUGGUUCUCCAUUAUAGGGAAGAGCAGAUGGAAACAGAAUGAGAAAAAAAAUCCACAACUUUGGCAUUUUUAGGGUUCCUAUGCUGAGUAUUCAGGUGCUGUCCCGCUGGAGAUAACACAUCAAGGAGAGCCAAGGAACAAUGAAGCAUCUUUCUUUCCAAGGAUCUGUGCCAGAAAUAAAGUUCAAAAUAAGUUUUCUUGUCUUUAAGACUGAGAUAUUAUUGAUUAAUUAAUUACAGAGGGAUAAAUGACACAGUUGUGUGUUAUGGGUAAGCCAUUUAAAGCCUACCAAAAUAAAGAGCUGUCAUCCUUUCCCAGCUCUCCAGGGCAGGAGCCUUUCCAAUGAAAAGAUCUGCUAAUGAAGCAGUUGUGAAAAAUAUUUACUGCCAGAGUUUCUUCGAUUGACAUUUGCAUCUUCUGUAAUUUGCCAAACUCUCUGUGCUAUUGGAGCCAUUUUCAUGGGACUAUAAUUUACGGGAAGGGUUUUUCCUUCACUUCUCGGUGUCUGCUUAAAAAAAACCCAAAAGCAUCUUUGGCUCUGAAAUUCACACUUAAUUUUUUAUUUCUUUUUGGCCAGAGGAGGAGGGAGGAGCAAGGGAAAAUGGAUAUUGUAGGAGACAGAGCUGAGAUGGAGGAGUAAGAGAUAGCAAGGACUGCUAAGUGCAGAGUUUCUCAAACUGUGGGUCAUGACCGCUUAAAAGACAGCCAAGACGUGUCAGAGGACAGCGGGGUCCUCCCCAGUUCAGCUGAGCGGGAGCCAGCUGAAAACGGACCUGGCUGCUCUCUCCCCAUGGAAGAAAAGACGAUUUUUGGGCAGAACCAGCAUCCUGGUCCAGCUCGGAUGGGAGCGCAGGCUGGAAGAGGGGCUGCCCAGCCAUCCUCCAUCCCUGGGAGGUGGGAGCCAGCUGCGAUCACUGCUUACACGCUUUCGUAUUAGUGAGGAAAUGGUUAAAAAAAACUAAUUGCUUUACUCUCCUCCAUGCAGAAGGAGGGAAAGGCAAAGGUGGAGGGGAGGUGAAGCCCAGCACGUGCAGCCCAUUCUCCUUUCCAAGCGACCAAGCGACCAAGCCGCUGCCAGCCAAGGGGGUCCCAUAAAGAUGGAUGAGCCAAAAAGAGGGCAUUUUUGUAAAGUUUAAGAAAUGCUCAUUUCAAGAGGCUGGUUUGCUGGGAAAGAGGAGGAUAA